rnacentral:rRNA from 1 species
GACGAACGCUGGCGGCGUGCCUAACACAUGCAAGUCGAACGGAAAGGCCCUGCUUUUGUGGGGUGCUCGAGUGGCGAACGGGUGAGUAACACGUGAGUAACCUGCCCUUGACUUUGGGGUAACUUCAGGAAAGUGGGGCUAAUAACGGAUAGGAGCUCCCGCUGCAUGGUGGGGGUUGGAAAGUUUCGGCGGUUGGGGAUGGACUCGCGGCUUAUCAGCUUGUUGGGUGGGUAGUGGCGGACCAAGGCGUUGACGGGUAGCCGGCCUGGGAGGGUGACCGGCCACAUUGGGCCGGGGAUACGGCCCAGCCCCCUACGGGAGGCAGCGGUGGGGAGGAGUACACAGUAGACGGGAGCCUGAUGCGACGCCGCCGCGUCGGGGAAGACAGCCUGCGGGUUGUAAACCGCUUUCGCCUGAGACGAAGCGUGAGUGACGGUAACGGGUAAAGAAGCACCGGCUAACUACGUG